rnacentral:rRNA from 1 species
UACGUAGGUGGCAAGCGUUGUCCGGAAUUAUUGGGCGUAAAGGGCGCGUAGGCGGUUUGGCAAGUCUAGUGUGAAAUCUUCGGGCUCAACUCGAAGUCUGCACUGGAAACUGCCGGACUUGAGUAUGGGAGAGGUGAGUGGAAUUUCCGGUGUAGCGGUGAAAUGCGUAGAUAUCGGAAGGAACACCUGUGGCGAAAGCGGCUCACUGGACCAUAACUGACGCUGAGGCGCGAAAGCGUGGGGAGCAAACGGG